UGCGUAGGUGGUCUUGUAAGUCAGAAGUGAAAGGCUACGGCUUAACCGUAGUAAGCUUUUGAAACUGCAGGACUUGAGUGCAGGAGAAGAAAGUGGAAUUCCUAGUGUAGCGGUGAAAUGCGUAGAUAUUAGGAGGAACACCAGUGGCGAAGGCGACUUUCUGGACUGUUACUGACACUGAGGCACGAAAGCGUGGGGAGCGAACA
rnacentral:rRNA from 1 species